CCCAUAUAAUCAAAUUCUUGUCUAAACUUGAUAGCUUUGGUCCAGGUGCUAGAUGCAUAACAGAGUAGUGAGCGAAUUCAUUGGAAGAGAAAGGAAUUUCCGGCAGCGGAAGUAGUGGAAACGGGCAGCGGAGAAGGUGUUAUGCGGUGGCUGUUUGAAAGAAGUGCUUUAAGUGAGGUGAUUACAACUCAGCCGGCCUUCCACUCAAGGAAGGAAGUUGCAGUGAUGGAAGAAGAAGCACGGGUGUGACUUCUGGUGCAGAGAAACUGGCUGGAAAAUUAGUUUCAGNAGAAUUUCUCAUUUAUCAUCCAAAAGUUAAUACAAGGGCAGCCAAGGUGAGUUAUAUAGACUCCUCAACCUUAGGCUUGUGAUGAAAAACGUGUUUAGCCACUAUGAAUCACGUUGCCUAACUCUAAUACAUGUGCUAAAUGUGCUAGCUUCUAGAAUGUAUAUGGAGUACACGUUUAUUUCAAUUUCCAAAAUAGGAAAGUUCCCG
rnacentral:lncRNA from 1 species